CUUGCUCCUGAUUGAUAAACAUUUGAGUGAGUGGCGGACGGGUGAGUAACACGUGGGUAACCUGCCCUAAAGUGGGGGAUAACAUUUGGAAACAGAUGCUAAUACCGCAUAAAACCUAACACCGCAUGGUGUAGGGUUGAAAGAUGGUUUCGGCUAUCACUUUAGGAUGGACCCGCGGUGCAUUAGUUAGUUGGUGAGGUAAAGGCUCACCAAGACCGUGAUGCAUAGCCGACCUGAGAGGGUAAUCGGCCACACUGGGACUGAGACACGGCCCAGACUCCUACGGGAGGCAGCAGUAGGGAAUCUUCCACAAUGGACGAAAGUCUGAUGGAGCAACGCCGCGUGAGUGAAGAAGGUUUUCGGAUCGUAAAACUCUGUUGUUGGAGAAGAAUGUAUCUGAUAGUAACUGAUCAGGUAGUGACGGUAUCCAACCAGAAAGCCACGGCUAACUACGUGCCAGCAGCCGCGGUAAUACGUAGGUGGCAAGCGUUGUCCGGAUUUAUUGGGCGUAAAGCGAGCGCAGGCGGUUUCUUAAGUCUGAUGUGAAAG
rnacentral:rRNA from 1 species